rnacentral:rRNA from 1 species
GAUGAACGCUAGCGGCAGGCUUAAUACAUGCAAGUCGAGGGGCAGCAUGACUGUAGCAAUACAGUUGAUGGCGACCGGCAAACGGGUGCGGAACACGUACAGAACCUUCCUUCGAGCGGGGAAUAGCCCAGAGAAAUUUGGAUUAAUACCCCAUAGUACAACGGAGUGGCAUCACUUUGUUGUUAAAGAUUUAUCACUUGAAGAUGGCUGUGCGGCUGAUUAGGUAGUUGGCGGGGUAACGGCCCACCAAGCCUGCGAUCAGUAACUGGUGUGAGAGCACGACCAGUCACACGGGCACUGAGACACGGGCCCGACUCCUACGGGAGGCAGCAGUAAGGAAUAUUGGUCAAUGGACGAAAGUCUGAACCAGCCAUGCCGCGUGGAGGAUGAAGGUCCUCUGGAUUGUAAAC